UACGUAGGGUGCAAGCGUUGUCCGGAAUUAUUGGGGCGUAAAGAGCUUGUAGGCGGUUUGUCGCGUCUGCUGUGAAAUUUCGGGGCUCAACCUCGAAACUUGCAGUGGGUACGGGCAGACUAGAGUGUGGUAGGGGAGACUGGAAUUCCUGGUGUAGCGGUGAAAUGCGCAGAUAUCAGGAGGAACACCAAUGGCGAAGGCAGCUCGCUGGAACGGUACUGACGCUGAGGCGCGAA
rnacentral:rRNA from 1 species